UACGUAGGGGGCUAGCGUUGUCCGGAAUCAUUGGGCGUAAAGAGCGUGUAGGCGGCUCGGUAAGUUCGCUGUGAAAGUCCAGGGCUCAACCCUGGAAUGCCAGUGGAAACUGUCGAGCUAGAGUCCGGAAGAGGCGAGUGGAAUUCCUGGUGUAGCGGUGAAAUGCGCAGAUAUCAGGAGGAACACCAAUGGCGAAGGCAGCUCGCUGGGACGGUACUGACGCUGAGACGCGAAAGCGUGGGGAGCAAACAGG
rnacentral:rRNA from 1 species